rnacentral:tRNA from 1 species
GGGCGAAUGGUUUAGUGGUAUAAUUCUCGCUUAGCAUGGUUCUUCUGAAUAGCUUGUGAGCGGUCCGGGGUUCGAUUCCCCGUUUGUCCA